rnacentral:lncRNA from 1 species
AAACUGGGUUUUAACCAUACAGAGAAAAGACUUAAGCAUGCAGAAAACAAUACUUUUAGACCCCAAUAAAUGUGUCCAGGUUGCUCUAGAAAAGUCAUCAACUAUUGUUAGAAAGUAUCUAGAGCCAGAAGAAGUGGGAGUGUGAUAAGGACCCCAAGUAUCUACAUGAAUCAAUUGGAAAGGUCUAGAUGUACUCGUUGUGCUAUCAGGAAAGGGAAGUCUAGUUUGUCUAGCCAUAGUACAAAUAGAACAAUGGAAAGGCUGUUUAGAAGCAAAUGGAAAAGAUAAGGCAGAAAUGUGUUUGCUCUAGAAAAGUCAUCAACUAUUGUUAGAAAGUAUCUAGAGCUAGAAGAAGUGGGAGUGUGAUAAGGACCCCAAGUAUAUACAUGAAUCAAUUGGAAAGGUCUAGAUGUACUUGUUGUGCUACCAGGAAAGGGAAGUCUAGUUUGUCUAGCCAUAGGACAAAUAGAACAAG